UUAGAGCCCACUUGACAUAUCUUCCGAUGCAUUAAACUGAGCCUUUUGCCUAUCGUCUUGAAAUAUCUUCCGAUGCAUUAAACCGAGUCUUUUGCCUUUCCUUUUUCAAUAUAUCUUCCCUGCUCCUCUUCCAAACCCCCAUCUUCUGCCUCUUAUAAUUCCGCAAUCUGAUGAUGCAAACCUAUUCCAUCUUCUUCGGCUCCUACGCCCUGUUGCAUUCAAACAAUCAGGUAUCUUCCUGUGGAAAAAUAAUGUGUCAGUCUUGCAUUGGGGAUGCACGGAUUAUGAUGUAUGAUUUGUUUGUUGUUGUUUCAUGGCUGGUGCACUAAUGUUUGCUGACAAUGGUAACUUUUGCGUUUGUGGAUUUGAAAAAAAGGAUAUUAAAGAUCUGCUUAAAAGAAGGCAGUUUAAGAGUUGGUGGCGAGAAGAGAGAGCAGCCCCAUGGCUCAUCGGAGUAUGUGAUUAGUAGAAAGAAUCAGAAGGCUGGUCAUUCUGUGAUCAUCGACAAGAAAACAGUUUGGUCUAAAUCGGUUUGCCAAAAGUGAAGAAAGUUGCAGGUGAUAUGUUGUUGUAAGCAAGUUGUAAAGAAAGACCAAAAAGUAAAGAAAUCACAAUUUCAGACUUGAGAAGGAUAAAGUUGGCUGGUCCAAAUCAGCUUAAAGAAAAAGACCAGUGGUAUUGCAAUAAAGGAAGAAAGUAGCAAGCCACAAGAUAGAAAGAACUUGAGUCGAUUAGAAAGAAGAAAAAAAAUUGGACAACCUGAAAGAAAGAAAGAUGCUGACCAGAAAGAGAGAGAAAAGACGCUUUAGAAAAGAAGAUCGUUCAGGUAGUAAGAAAGACCGAGAACAAGAACUGAAUUACGACGUCUGUGUAGUAAGUGACUGGUCAUGUAUGGCUCGCAGCUUCUAAAUAUUUAACCUCCAUGGAUUCAUGAUCUGAGAAAUUUAGGAGGAACUGGAAGAUAGUUGCAAGAUAAUAAGCAUGAAGGUUUGAUGUGAGAAAUCUAAGAACGGAAAGAUGAUUGCAAGAUAACAAGCAUGAAGGUUUGAUAUCUAAACUGUAAGAGUAAGAGAAGUAUCAAGGAGAUUCGAAACAAGCAAGAGAGUUCGAAUCAAGAAAGAUCAAGUAGGUUUAGCAAGAAACAACAUCAAGAUGAUGGGGGUAAAUUCUUGGGUUAAUCUUGGUGGGUCGAGUUUGCUCACGGGCCAAUUACAAGUUUCACCCAUGGAUAAUUGGGUACGGAUACAUGAGUUUGGAAGGAGUCAUCGUUGGCCUGAAAAUUAGGAGCUGAACAUGGAGUUGAGGUACAUGUUGAGGUGAAGUCUACAUUGGUUAAAAAAGGUGGGUUGUAAUAUUUAUGUUUGUUAUAAGCUAGCAUAUGAUUCCUUUUUUUUGUUAGCCUAUUUAUAGCCUCAUUUGUGUAUUGAAAGAUACCAAAAUUUUCCAUAUUAUUCCCCUUUUCUCUGCGUAUUUAUAUUUUCAUACAUAUUAGUGUUGCGUGUGUGAGUUCGGACCAGUGAAACCAACAAACUAAACUAUCAAAUUUAGUAUUGUUUCCAAACCUCAACCAUUGCCAACUCCAACACUAGAAAAUCAGAGUCUUUUCUCUUUUGUACCUUUUCAAACAAAGCAUAAGUGACAACAAUUAGCAACAUCAUUAAGGUAAUAUCUUUUCACUUAUUAUCAUUAAUAUAUUUUUUGUCUAUCCAGUUUCCUGCUACAUAUGUAUUUGUUUACAGAUUUAAACAGUUGGCCUAUCAUUGAGGGAUCGACAUCUCGGGCAGCGAAUCUCCUUCAUCAGCAAGAAAAGAGUAAAAUACACUCAUGGAAGGAACGGGCUGAUGUACGGAAGUGCCUGGAAUAGUGGUUUGUAAAUGUUGGUAGUCCUUUUAAUUAGAACUUCAAAGAGUCAGAUUCGACGUUUCAAAGUUACAAGAAGCUUUGCACGGUUCUUUUAUUGUACGAAUAUUGGAUCCAAUAUCAUGAGUUAUAAGAAUCAUCUUCUUCCGCAAGCUCAAGAGUUGUACGGUGGUUGAGAUAUAUGGGUUUUCUGGUUCCGGAGGGAUGGGGGAGGAGCGUUCCAGCAAUUACCUGCUUCAUUCCAAGCAUACCAUAAGUGUAACGUUGAAUUUUGAUCAGGCAAUGGAAAAUUUAAGGAAACAAGGAAAAAUGAGAGAUUGAAUCCAAAUGGAAGCCAAAUGAGGGUGAUCAAGGCAUUAAACGGGUUGGGUGUUGGACCAGACCACCGAUCAGGUGACACUAGGGUUGUCUUUUAGGAUCAUAAAAUCUUCCUGCAAAUUUGCUAGAUCUUUAGAUGAAACCAAACGAUGUGUGGUGAUAAAAUUAACUUGUAUUAAUUUGCAAACAAUUUCUAUGACAUGGUUUAUUACUGUUGAGGGACACCUCAGUUAUCGUCGAA